GCCAAAUGCAGCAUAGGUAUGGCUGAAGUACAGUACCUAGGUCAUCGGGUAGGAUGCGGCAAGCAGAAGCCGGAACCAGCCAAAGUAGAGGCUGUAGCUCAAUGCCCUACCCCUAGGACUAAGACCCAGGUGUUAGCGUUCUUAGGAACGGCCGGAUACUACCGGAAAUUCGUCCCGAAUUACAGUGCCCUGGCCAAACCUCUCACCGACUUGACCCGUAAAAACCUACCCCGCCAAGUAACCUGGACCCCGGAGUGUGAACAGG
rnacentral:lncRNA from 1 species